GACGAACGCUGGCGGCGUGCCUAAUACAUGCAAGUCGAGCGGACGAUUCGAAGUCUUGCUUUUGCAUCGUUAGCGGCGGACGGGUGAGUAACACGUGGGCAACCUGCCCUGUAGACGGGGAUAACACCGAGAAAUCGGUGCUAAUACCGGAUAACACGAAAUGUCGCAUGACGUUUCGUUGAAAGGCGGCGCAAGCUGCCGCUACAGGAUGGGCCCGCGGCGCAUUAGCUAGUUGGUGAGGUAACGGCUCACCAAGGCGACGAUGCGUAGCCGACCUGAGAGGGUGAUCGGCUACACUGGGACUGAGACACGGCCCAGACUCCUACGGGAGGCAGCAGUAGGGAAUCUUCCGCAAUGGACGAAAGUCUGACGGAGCAACGCCGCGUGAGCGAAGAAGGCCUUCGGGUCGUAAAGCUCUGUUGUUAGGGAAGAACAAGUAACGUAGUAACUGACGUUACUAUGACGGUACCUAACGAGAAAGCCACGGCUAACUACGUG
rnacentral:rRNA from 1 species